rnacentral:rRNA from 1 species
AGAGUUUGAUCCUGGCUCAAAAUCAACGCUGGCGGCGUGCCUCAGACAUGCAAGUCGAACGCGAAAGGUUCCUUCGGGGACCGAGUAGAGUGGCGUCCGGGUGAGUAACACGUGGGUAAUCUACCUUCGGGUGGGGAAUAACGACCGGAAACGGUCGCUAAUACCGCAUAAUGCAGCGGCACCUAAUGGUGACAGUUGUUAAAGCGGGGGAUCGCAAGACCUCGCGCCUGAAGAGGAGCCCGCGGCGGAUUAGCUAGUUGGCAGGGUAACGGCCUACCAAGGCGACGAUCCGUAGCCGGCCUGAGAGGGCGGUCGGCCACACUGGCACUGACAUACGGGCCAGGCUCCUACGGGAGGCAGCAGUCGGGUAUUUUGGGCAAUGGGCGAAAGCCUGACCCAGCAACGCCGCGUGAAGGAUGAAGCUUUUUCGGAGUGUGAACUUCAUAAGAGUGGGACGAAUGAGGGGGGGGGAUUAUACCCCCCCAUUGAUGACGGUACCAU